rnacentral:rRNA from 1 species
UACGGAGGGUGCGAGCGUUGUCCGGAAUCACUGGGCGUAAAGGGCGCGUAGGUGGCGCGGCAAGUCAACGGUGAAAGCUCGACGCUCAACGUCGAGUCGGCCGUCGAUACUGCUGGGCUUGAGCACUGUAGAGGCAGAUGGAAUUCCGGGUGUAGCGGUGGAAUGCGUAGAGAUCCGGAAGAACACCGGUGGCGAAGGCGGUCUGCUGGGCAGUAGCUGACACUGAGGCGCGACAGCGUGGGGAG